AUGUUACAGUAUAGAGAAGACUUCGAAGAGAGAGACCAGUGAAGAACAAAUUUCUGAAGAGCAUUCAACAAAGAUACUGCACAGAUAUCAAUGUUACAGUUGUGGGGAAGAAAACCUGUCUGAAAGCAACCCUACAAGUUGGCCAAUACAUGGACGAUUUUUUGUAAGUUUGUAUAUAUACACAUUAACGAUGUAUUUUCCAUUUGAUAUAGC